rnacentral:lncRNA from 1 species
CUCAGGGGUUUUAGCUCAGUUCUCCAGCCUGAUUAACCAAUAAUGUUUCUUUCAUGUCUGUUCGAGUAAUACUCUACUCCUUCCUGCAUCUGUGGGCUGCUGAGUGUGUUAGACUAAGCACAGAUGACACAAAUGCAACUUUUUGGACUUGAGUUUACACCUGCCAAGUUGGUGCACAAACACGGUGCUUGUAUGUGUACGCAAAAGUGUGUGUUGGUUUAUGCCCUGUAUGUAUGUAUGUGUUUUUGGCUGGCUGCGGGUUGGAUGCUCAGCCGUGAGUGGUCACUGAUUUCCUCCUCAGCUGGUUGUGCUCUACAGGUGGUGAUCCUGUAGCACAGAUGUUAAGGGUUCUAGAAUUACUGGAAGUAGGGAGGAGAAAGGCUUGUUUGGGUACCCACUACAAGAUUGGAGAAGGGCUACCUGUCUCUGAAGAAGAUCAUGUGCUGUACAACAGGCAUUGCCACCUCCUGGCUGAGUUCUUCAGGCAGAAGCACAGAGCAAAUAUCACCUGCCGUUCCCCUGCUAUUUCAGUAGGUGCACUCUGGAUUCCUGUUGGUAGCUUGCAGAGAGUCCUACCCUGCCAAUCAUCCAAGUAAAUGGUGAUGCUAGAAGGACAUGGAUGAAAGACAGAAGAAUAACACUGGGAGCCAGAGAAAAAAAAUAAGAAAAGACUGUUCUGGAAGUGCUCCAGCUCUAUGCUGUAUAGACUUCAUGCUUUGUAACCCUGGCAUCACCUUCUUCAGUGUAUGAAUAAUUAAUUGCUUGCCAUUUUGACAGUGUGUCCCAGAUUUGGCUCACUUCACAUUAGCUAACUAAAAGUCAAGCCUCUAGUGCCAAGGUUGUUCUCUUGAAUCCCUUUGGAGAUGGCAAAUAAAGAAAAAAAAAAAGGGGGUAAUGCA